rnacentral:lncRNA from 1 species
AUUUAAUCCGUAAGGAUUUUAGAAUUUUUAACGUCAUCUUCUAUGUAAAAUUUCCUAAUAAAAUUAUGUAAAUUAUAUUGAAAAAUUGAAUUUUUUUUAAAAGAAAAAACGAGUUAAACGUCAUUUCUAGUACGUACGUUUGACACAUGUUUUAACUAUUUUCAAUAUCCGUUUGGACAAUUCGAUAUGACUACGAUGUAGUUAUCGAAACAAGCUUCUAGAUAAUGUAGGCGAUUUGUGGAUUCGGACAAUAUACGAUCAUUGGAAAAUUUUAAAAGUUAGCAUAUUAUUGAACUUUUCGAAAUACUAAUUUGGAAUGGCUUAUUUUGAUACAGCAUAGCUUUUGCUACGGUUGAUCAUUUCGCACGUCAUUAAGAAGCGAAAAACUAGGUUAUGAGCAUUUCAAAAUGAUAUUAAGAAUGCAAUGUUCCGACUUCAUUUGGCAUGCCUUAAAGUAGAUAAUAAAACGGUUAAAACAAUUAUUUUCUGAAAAAAAAAAUCCAAAAAUUUGUGGGGUCAUUUGACCCCACAUGACUUCAUGUGGGUCCACCCCUAGGUUCAAAUCAACGAAUCAAAUUCGUAGAAAUUUAGGUGGAUGGGCUAAUUGUUAUCGUUUUAAACAUUUUUUUUGCAUGUAUAAGCGCUCGAUUUUUAAAUUUUAUUAGAGUGGGUUUCAAGAUAGUAACACUUAAACGCAAGAAAUUUUUUUCCUCUACUUAAGAUUGUGGUUGUACAUUCAAUACUGUGAAUAAUUGGUACCCAACAAAAUUAAAUAGGGAAAAUAUGUUAAAUGUUUACUCAUUAUGUUUUUUAAUUCAUAAUAUGUGUGAAGUAAUUGAGGUUUUGAUUAAUUGUGAGCCCAGCAGAAAUUGAAGAGGCCUAGUGACUUAAAAUAGUGAACCAAUCCAUUUAUUGAUCCAGUUGGCUGAUGAAACGUGUCUAGCACACACGCUUCGUAGAUUUCUUCCAUGAUGUGACACGUGGAGGAGUUUGAGCCAUUGGAUCCAGGAUGGCUCAUCUGUGAUAAAUAGAGAAUAACAUAAAACCUGGCGGCUUUCUAGACAUUUCUUGGUUUCUCUGCUCUUCGUCUUCUUCCUUUUCCCUUCGAUUUUCUUAGUGAAAAUCUAUGUAAAAGAAGAAGGUUUCUGUGUGAUAAGAGAGGGGUUCAAAUUCUGUAAUUUUACAAAUUGUUGUUUGUUUUGUGAUCUCUGUGUAAGGAUGUAAUUUUGAUUUGAGGUUGUGAAUUCAAAGGUAAUUGUUGGUAAAAUCCAGUGUGGGUCAUUGAAAAGUAAUAGAUAAAGUGAGUA